rnacentral:rRNA from 1 species
UGGGGAAUAUUGCACAAUGGGGGAAACCCUGAUGCAGCGACGCCGCGUGAACGAAGAAGGUAUUCGUAUCGUAAAGUUCUGUCCUAUGGGAAGAUAAUGACAGUACCAUAGAAGAAAGCUCCGGCUAAAUACGUGCCAGCAGCCGCGCUAAUACGUAUGGAGCGAGCGUUGUCCGGAAUUAUUGGGCGUAAAGGGUACGCAGGCGGUUUAAUAAGUCGAAUGUUAAAGAUCGGGGCUCAACCCCGCAAAGCAUUGGAAACUGAUAAACUUGAGUAGUGGAGAGGAAAGUGGAAUUCCUAGUGUAGUGGUGAAAUACGUAGAUAUUAGGAGGAAUACCAGUAGCGAAGGCGACUUUCUGGACACAAACUGACGCUGAGGUACGAAAGCGUGGGGAGCAAACAGG